GGUUUGAGGUGCUACUUUACAUUCAAAAGGAUGGGAGUACACUCUCUUUUCAGAAUAUGGUUCAUCUCAAAGCCCUUUACACUUUGGAGCCAGGCCUGUUCAAGUUUACAAAUAGCANAUUUUGCUUGUAGUCAGGGUACUGUGACAACGUGAAGAGCUCAAGCUGCCUCCCAGGAUGAGUACAGGUAAUUGUAAGUAGAGCUUGGGCGUUCUCUAGGGAGAGUAGCUGACAAGUAUUGGGGCAGCACACCACUUUCUUGCUGCUUAUUCUUUGUAUUUCUAGAGAACAUCUUAUGUUAAGGCCUUUGUUCU
ensembl:processed_transcript uncharacterized LOC110285832